UACAGAGACUGCGAGCGUUAUUCGGAUUCACUGGGCGUAAAGGGUGCGCAGGCGGCCAAGUGUGUGAGGCGUGAAAGCCCGGGGCUUAACCCCGGAAUUGCACCUCAAACUACAUGGCUAGAGCAUUGGAGAGGGUCGCGGAAUUCCCGGUGUAGAGGUGAAAUUCGUAGAUAUCGGGAGGAACACCGGUGGCGAAGGCGGCGACCUGGGUAGAUACUGACGCUGAGGCGCGAAAGCGUGGGGAGCAAACAGG
rnacentral:rRNA from 1 species